rnacentral:rRNA from 1 species
CCUACGGGAUGCAGCAGUGGGGAAUAUUGCACAAUGGGCGCAAGCCUGAUGCAGCCAUGCCGCGUGUAUGAAGAAGGCCUUCGGGUUGUAAAGCACUUUCAGCGGGGAGGAAGGCGAUAAGGUUAAUAACCUUGGUGAUUGACGUUACUCGCAGAAGAAGCACCGGCUAACUCCGUGCCAGCAGCCGCGGUAAUACGGAGGGUGCAAGCGUUAAUCGGAAUUACUGGGCGUAAGCGCACGCAGGCGGUCUGUCAAGUCGGAUGUGAAAUCCCCGGGCUCAACCUGGGAACUGCAUUCGAAACUGGCAGGCUAGAGUCUUGUAGAGGGGGGUAGAAUUCCAGGUGUAGCGGUGAAAUGCGUAGAGAUCUGGAGGAAUACCGGUGGCGAAGGCGGCCCCCUGGACAAAGACUGACGCUCAGGUGCGAAAGCGUGGGGAGCAAACAGGAUUAGAUACCCGCGUAGUC